rnacentral:rRNA from 1 species
UCGAACGAGCAUAGAUACUUCGGUUUAUGCUGAGUGGCGGACGGGUGAGUAACGCGUGGGUACCUGCCUUGUACUGGGGGAUAGCAGCUGGAAACGGCUGGUAAUACCGCAUAAGGUUGCAUGACAAAAACUCCGGUGGUAUAAGAUGGACCCGCGUCUGAUUAGCUAGUUGGUGAGAUAACAGCCCACCAAGGCGACGAUCAGUAGCCGACCUGAGAGGGUGACCGGCCACAUUGGGACUGAGACACGGCCCAGACUCCUACGGGAGGCAGCAGUG